GUGCAGACAGUUACCCCUUUCUAGUCUGGCUCCUGGGACUCUAGAGGGAGUCAGUCUGAAAUAUUAAGUAGUGAACUCGUCUGUCCAGUGUCAGUGUUCAUUGGCAACUUUAGACUUGCCAAGUAUCA
rnacentral:snoRNA from 12 species